GUGCCUUAGAGUUUGAUUUCCACUUGAGCCAGCGUGGUUGGUGGCUACUCAGCAAACCAUGCAAUAACAGUAAUAAACGAUCAAAGAGACUUUCUAAGGACACAACCACAGAAGCAGUAGCAGAAGCCUCCACAAGUGAAUCUACUUCUCUCUUCGAAUUACAAGCUUGAUUAAAGAAGUAGGGUUGUGCAUGAAGAUGCUAGCUACUCCUUUAAUCAAGCUUGUAAU
rnacentral:misc_RNA from 1 species